GUAUACUCUGAUUAAUGCACUUACUGUAUCUCCUCUAUCCAAGGGACAGUAACACUUCUCACAAGCGUUUCCUCCACUUCCUUUGCAGUCAGUGAGUAGCAGCACUGCUACCAGUGGCAGUCUGGUACGGGCUGGCCUCCUCACCUCUGAUCCACAGGGGUUUUCUUGGUGCCCUGAGAGUUUUUCCCAGAAGGAGUUCCUGAUCCAGUCUUGCCUCUCACCUUUGGUUUUCCCUUCUUCUGGAGCCAUUCUGCCAUGACCCUCAUGGUACCGACUGCCUUCCCUCAAUUUGGUCCCAAUUCGGGUUGCAAGGAGAGCGCUCUAUGGAACAGUACUGGAAACUGAGAUGUUAUUUUGACUGUCAACUCUGAGCUGAACAAAACUUGAACUUUAUAACUAUAACUGAUAAAAACGCGAGCAGGCUCCCAGUACCAAAGUGAUUUCAGCAUUUAUUACAAGAAAAAGAAAGGCCAAAGCAAGGGGGCCCGCAGGCCGAGCAGGAGCGUUCCCGUCGAGGAUGCUGCAGCGCCGGCGCUGGGGCUGCUUCAGCAGCGAUGGCCCCGAUGUCCCAGGUGGAGCGGCACAGAUUCAGUGGUGUGCUCUGGGAAUCCUGAACUUCAUGUGCCAGAGGAAUCUUUAACUUUGUGUGCCCCGGGACUCCUGAAUUUCGUGUCUCCCGAGAAUCCUGACUUUCGUGUGCCCCCAGAAUCCUGAAUUUCAUGUGCUCUGAGAUUCUUGAAUUCCGUGUGCCCUAGUAUCCUGAACCUCGUGUGCCCCAGGAAUCCUGAACUUCAUGUUCCCUGGGAAUCCUGAACUUCACCUGUCCCUGCCUUUCUCAGACACCGGCUGCCACUGUCCUGUCCUCACUGUUUUCUUCAUUACUGCUCUGCAUUUUCUCCACACCAUAGCCACCCCCUACUGCCUUGCCUGCACGUCCCCACAGUUCCACCUCCCUCAAAACUCCUGAUACAUCUCAAACUUCUGAUACAUCUCAGUGUCCUGGAUUGCCAAGCACAUUGUGUUCUAUUUGCCAUCUGCAUGGCAGUUGUCUUCUGAUAAUUGGGCAGUUUUCCUUAUCUCUUCCACCACCACUCCUCCCUCCAGAGACAUCUGCUGAUAACAGGCCAUUGAAUGUCACUGCAUGGCUGAUAACAACUAUGGCAUCCCAUUGGGAGAUGCUCUUCCCAGAGGGAGGAGCCAAGCAUUCCUACCCGGAUAUAAUCUGGAGAUUCUGGAACAGCAGCACGGCUUCUCCACUGGAUUCCCAGAGGAACAGCAGCUGCCUCUUCCCCUGGAUCUUCAGAGGAAGAACACACCCUUUUACAGGAUCCCUGCUCCAGCAGAAUCACCCCUGACACUCCAGGAGGGCUACAGCCACAAUUCCAACUGGACUGCUGCCAACACCCUGACCCACAGGGUGUCACGUUGUGUUCUGACUCUGGCAGUGUGGGUUUAGUUUACGGCAUUGUUUAUUUUAUUUUCUUCCCUAAUAAAGAUCUGUUAUCCCUGCUCCUAUA